UAGGGAAUCUUCCGCAAUGGACGCAAGUCUGACGGAGCAACGCCGCGUGAGUGAAGAAGGAUUUCGGUUCGUAAAACUCUGUUGUUAGAGAAGAACAGCGCAUAGAGUAACUGUUAUGCGUGUGACGGUAUCUAACCAGAAAGCCACGGCUAACUAAGUGCCAGCAGCCGCGGUAAUACGUAGGUGGCAAGCGUUGUCCGGAUUUAUUGGGCGUAAAGCGAGCGCAGGCGGUCAAUUAAGUCUGAUGUGAAAGCCCCCGGCUCAACCGGGGAGGGUCAUUGGAAACUGGUUGACUUGAGUGCAGAAGAGGAGAGUGGAAUUCCAUGUGUAGCGGUGAAAUGCGUAGAUAUAUGGAGGAACACCAGUGGCGAAGGCGACUCUCUGGUCUGUAACUGACGCUGAGGUUCGAAAGCGUGGGUAGCAAACAGG
rnacentral:rRNA from 1 species